AAGAAAGUGACAGAGUGGUUAUGUGGUUGGCUUGAAAUUAACAUAUGAGGGUUCAAUUCCUUCCUUUCUUG
rnacentral:tRNA from 1 species